AAUGAACGUUGGCGGCGUGGAUUAGGCAUGCAAGUCGAGCGAGAACCGUAGCAAUACGGGGACAGCGGCGUAAGGGACAGUAAUACGUAGAUCACCUGCCCUCGGAUCCAGGAUAGCUGCGGGAAACUGCAGGUAAUACUGGAUGAUGUCUUCGGACCAAAGGUGUGAUUCCGUCCGAGGAUGGGUCUGCGUCCUAUUAGCUAGUUGGUGGGGUAACGGCCUACCAAGGCAAUGAUGGGUAGCGGGUGUGAGAGCACGACCCGCGUCACUGGGACUGAGACACUGCCCAGACACCUACGGGUGGCUGCAGUCGAGGAUCUUCGGCAAUGGGCGCAAGCCUGACCGAGCGACGCCGCGUGCGGGAUGAAGGCCUUCGGGUUGUAAACCGCUUUCGGAGGGGAUGAAAUGCGCACGGGUUCUCCCGGGCGUUUGACAUAGCCUCUAAAGAAGUACGGGCUAAGUUCGUGCCAGCCGCCGCAGUAAAAC
rnacentral:rRNA from 1 species